UUAAGUUUUGAUACUUAUAUUAGAAGCCACAAAAGGCCAGCAUCCAGUCAAUGAACACAACUACAAAAUGGCAGUUAAUUUGUUUACACAAUAUACAUCACUUGUUUACACAUAAUAUACACACCUUGUUAACAUGAUUUGACACACACAACAAGUUUUUAACCUGCGUAUAUGAUAAUGACUGCAGUUGGAAGGAAAUGAAGUAUUUUUAUGUAGUAAAUUUUAAGUAAAUAAUCUUUCAUGAUAAAAUACAGGGGCUCUUUUCACAAAAACUUUACAACAAAAAUUGAUGAUAAGUUAUACAUUGUACUGAAUUGUUCAUUACUUACAAGUAUUGUUUCUCUUAAUAUUUUUUAUGAAAUAAGUAGCAGGCCUUUUCAGCAACUGCAGAGUCAGUGAAUUGUAACAUUUUCUAGUAAUACAAUGGUCAGUAUCAGUACUAGUAUUCACAUUUACAAUAUUCUCAUCCCCCCUUCCCCCCAGUUUAUAAAACGUUAUAGGCAUGUCCAUUUAUAUCAAGAGAGUGCCUAUAUAAAUAAAUUUAAAUAAAAAUACCCAUUUUCAGCAGUUAAAGAUGAAAUCAAAUUAUAAAUACAGUCUUAGUUAUUUGAAAUUUGUUUUAAAUAUUGAAAUUAAUAAUCUUGUAGCACAUAUGAGUAAAAUCUUCUUAACAAUUAAUUAAUGCCA
rnacentral:lncRNA from 1 species